UUUUCUUUUCUUUUUCUUAAACUUAUAAGACCCGAAGGAGUGCUCGAGGGAAGGGCAGUGAGACCCUUUCCUGCUCACCGGAACACCGCAUCGGGACUACGGGAACGGUGGUGCGGAGAGGAGGUGGGGAGAGGGGCUGUCGCAGUCUCUCUCUUCCUCUUAUUGGCCGGAUUUUUGUUUCUUUUCAAUCUAACCAUUAAAAACGGUAAUAGAUAAUAAAUUUUUUUACUUAACGUCUAGAUAUAGGAAAUUGAGUUUUUUUUUUUUUAUUUUUUUUACUUAACGUCUAGAUAAAUAAAUUCUGUUAAGUAAUUGUAAAUGAUGAUACCCUUUGUUGUUUGUACACAAAUGGUCAUUUUCGUUCUUUCUUUCUUUCUCUCUCUCUCUCUAUCUCUCUCUCUCUCUCACACACAUACACACACAUCCACCGUCAUCAUCAUUGGUGACUUAGAUAAUGUUUUCAUUCCUCAACCCAGAAUUAUAGAACAGUGAUGAAAAAUAUAUCCAACAAAAAAUCGAACACCUACAUCAAUAUUUUUUUGUUGUUUGGAAUCGGAGAACACAAGAGUAUCAUCACCGAAAAGAUUGAACACCGGAAUCAGCAACACCAUGUUGGGUUUCUAUUUGCUAUUUGCUGUCAGAUUUCUCCGUGGUGGUGAUGGAGGCUCGAUUAAACCCCCUAUUGUGUUCUGACUUGGCGUGUCCGGUAUCAGCAACACCCGAACGACCGAACCCCUCUUUUUUCUUGUAUCUCCUGGAUCGAACGAGUUCCUUAUUUUUUUUUUAUUUUUUUUUGUCUUUACGCUCUAUCUAAACUUUGUUUUCUAUGUUCUCUGCAAUAAUGAAAGAUGAAGGUCAAGUCGUGUGGCACAUCUGACUGUCCCUUGUUUACAAGGAACUCGUGGUUUAUGAGUGAGUUGAGUUGAGUUACCAAGAAGUGGAAGAAAGUAUAGCUAUUCACCAAGGGACUUGGGAAAUCAUGUGUAUGCAUUUGAUGAAGUUAGGGACAUGGGAGGGGGUGUAGAGACGAUGAACAACCACCAAAUUAGUCCAAAUUCUCAACAAUGAGAGAGAAAGAGAGAGAGUGUGUGUGUGUGUUUUAAAUUUCAAAUUAACAAAAUAUUAAAAUAAAAAUAAAAACAAAUGACAUUUUAGUCUUUUCAA